CAACCCUCAGGGUCCUCCGCCUAGCGCGGCCGGGCCCUGGUGUUGGGGAUCGGCCCGCCCCGCGCGGUGCCGUCCCCUAAAAUCAGUGGCGGUCCCGCCGCAGCCUCCCCUGCGCAGUAGUUACCAACUCGCACUGGAGCGCGGCGCGGCCACGCCGUAAAACCCCCGACUUCUGGAA
rnacentral:misc_RNA from 1 species